CUCAAACAAAAAUACUCUACAACAUAAACCAUCACACACACAGAAUCCUUCUUCAUACAUAUCAUAAUUUUACACCAACAUGGAGGUUAAGUUCUACAUCAGGGAUCCUAAAACAAAUCCACCCUUAUCAAUACCAUCAAACAUUAUUAACAACAAUACUAUCAUCGAUGCUGAUUACUUGGAAUUCGAAUUUGAGAUGGUCACGCUAGAGGCUACUAAUGAAUAUGAUAACAGGUACACGAGUCUUAAAGACAUCUCGCCGCCGUGCGAGUUAAGCAGGAAGGAGAGCUGGAGGGAGGUCCCACUUAAGGACCCUUUAGUCCGGCAGGCGGCGUGGGCUUGGGCUUAUCUGCCACUCAGCAAGACGGAGCAUCAGCGGAAUGGAUUUAUCGGAAAACUCAGAGAUGGCUUUGUUGGUUGUUUUAGGAAUGUUCUCUUGCUCAUAACUGGUAAGCUUUUACCGGAUCAGGAGUUUGAAAUUGAUGACGAUGAUCAACAAACUUAUAGUAACAAUAUUAUCCCCGCGAGGUCCAAGAUGAUUGGACAAUGACGCUUAAGUCUUGCUGCCUUGAGAUCACGAGUUUUAUUCCUGGGACGUUCUACGAGUAAGUGAGCUUCCAUGCUCGGGGUAUGAGGGUACAAGUAUGCCCAACCAGAUUAAUCGAGGUGCAUCCAAGCUGAAUCGAACACCAGUUUAACGAUUUUAUUUUUUUAACAAUUUUGUUGAUUGGCAAUAUUAGUAGUGUUACUUGCUAGUUGCGCGCAUGUACAUAUGUAGGAUUGUGAAUGAUAUAAUUAUCGGUAUUAUGGAGUAUAUGAUUAUGAAAUACUGUAUUGGAUAGUA